rnacentral:rRNA from 1 species
GACGAACGCUGGCGGCGUGCUUAACACAUGCAAGUCGAGCGGACAGGCCCUGCUUUUGUGGCGUGCUCGUGUGGCGAACGCGUGUGUAAAACGCGAGUAACCUGCCCUUGACUUUGGGGUAACUUCCGGAAACUGGGGCUCUUACCGGCUAGGAGCUCUUGCUGCAUGGUGGGCGUUGGAAAGUUUCGGUGUUUCGGUCUGUACUCGCGGCGUAUCAGCUUGUUGGUGAGGUAGUGGCUUACCCAGGCUUUGACGGGUAGCCGACCUGACAGGGUGGUCGGCCACCCUGGAGCUGAGACAGGGUCCAGACUCCUACGGGAGGGAGCAGUAGGCAAUCGUACGCAGUGGGCGAAAGCCUGACGGAGCAACGCCGCGUGAGUGAUGAAGGUCUUCGGAUCGUAAAACUCUGUUAUUAGGGAAGAACAGCUGUGUAAUGAACUAUGGACGUCUUGACGGUACCUGGUCAGAAAGCCCCGGCUAACUACGUG